AUACGGAGGAUGCGAGCGUUAUCCGGAUUUAUUGGGUUUAAAGGGAGCGUAGGUGGGAUAUUAAGUCAGCUGUGAAAGUUUGGGGCUCGACCUUAGAAUUGCAGUUGAUACUGGUUUCCUUGAGUACGGUACAGGUGGGCGGAAUUCGUGGUGUAGCGGUGAAAUGCUUAGAUAUCACGAAGAACUCCGAUCGCGAAGGCAGCUCACCGGGCCGGAACUGACACUGAUGCUCGAAAGUGCGGGUAUCAAACAGGAUUAGAUACCCUGGUAGUCCGCACAGUAAACGAUGAAUACUCGCUGUUUGCGAUACACUGUAAGCGGCCAAGCGAAAGCGUUAAGUAUUCCACCUGGGGAGUACGCCGGCAACGGUGAAACUCAAAUGAAUUGACGGGG
rnacentral:rRNA from 1 species